AGUGCAAGUAGUAGUCGUCGUGAUAUGCGCUCGGUAACUUGUGGAAGGAAAUACAGUAAAAGAUCAUAUGCUAAGAAAAGCAACGCCUACCCACUUUUAAGAGACCCUGAAGAUGAUAAUCUUUGUUUGAAAAUGGAGAACAGAAAUGUUUCUGAUUGUGAAUAUUUACACCAAAAUAGUAAUGGCGAAACCACAGUACAAUCUCCUAACAAUUUGGAAGGCAUCCUAGAGACGCAUGAUAUGGGGUCGACACUGGCCUCUCAAUCUAAUGCUGCUUUGAGAGAACCAACAAAAGUGAAAAAUGGUGGGAUAUUCAAGUACCUUGGAGGUCCUGCGGUUGGAGAUGCUGAAAGCAAUCUUUCAGAAGCCCUAUGCUGUUAUGAAGAAGCUAGAAAGGCAUUAGGUGGUCUUCCAUCUAAUUCAGCAGAAUUACAAUCUAUAAUGAAAAAGAAAGGGUGGGUAUGCAAUGAACUGGGUCGAAAUAGGCUUGGGAGGAAAGAACUAAACAAAGCUGAAUUUGCUUUUGCUGAUGCUAUAAAAGCAUUCAGGGAAGUCUCUGAUCAUACCAAUAUCAUAUUAAUAAACUGUAACUUGGGCCAUGGAAGACGGGCAUUGGCAGAAGAGAUGGUAUCAAAGAUUGAUAGUCUCAAGACGCAUGCAAUCUUUCGAACUGCAUACAACCAUGCAUUAGAGACUGCAAAAUUAAAAUAUAGUGAAUCACUUAAAUAUUAUGGGGCAGCAAAAGUGGAACUCAAUGCGUUUGUUGAAGAGGCUGCUGGCCCUGAAUUAAACAAUUUGAGGACUGAGGUAUAUACACAAUUUGCUCAUACGUAUCUGAGGCUCGGAAUGCUCUUGGCAAGAGAAGAUAUAUCUGUGGAAGUUUAUGAAGCUGGAGUCUUGGGAGAUGUGCAUGUUGAUUCCACUAGUCCUAGUGGCAGAAAAUCAAGAAAAGAAUCACGUAAGCAUGAGAUUUCAGCCAAUGCUGCCAUUAGGGAGGCACUGUCUCUUUAUGAAUCAUUAGGCGAAUUACGGAAACAGGAGGCUGCAUAUGCCUAUUUUCAGCUGGCUUGCUACCAAAGGGAUUGUUGCUUGAAGUUCUUAGAGCCAGACCAUAAGAAAAGCAGCUUAUCUAAAGGUGAAAGCACUAUUGUCCAACGGGUCAAGCAGUACGCAGCCUUGGCAGAGAGGAACUUGCAAAAGGCCAUGGAUUUCUAUGGCCCCAAGACGCAUCCUACCAUGUACCUGACUAUUCUUAUAGAAAGAUCAGCUCUUUCACUGAGCCUUUCAAGCCCUUUACACUCAAAUGCUGUAUGUUCUUGAACUUAAUAUUUACUGAAAAUUUUGAAUUUCUCUUAUUACAAAUAAUAUUUAUUCACCCCUUUUUGAAACUCAGACAAGGACUGAAAAGUAUAUGGUAUACAUAUGCAUGCAUGGAUUGCACCACAUUUUAGGGAUUGGAUAGGCGAAUUGAACGCUAAGAAGGGGAUUUUAUUCUUGAAUUGUUCCUUUUUAUAGAACUCUUAUGAUCUCAUCCUUUUUGACUGUUGGCUUCAGCAUUUUGAUUCAUCUUGAUGAUUCACUUGCUGACUUGUUUCGUUUAUCAUCUUGAGGUCCAGCAACAUGUACUCGUGUAUUUAUGUUGUCCUUUGCACUUACUAAAUAUUUGUUAUAGAAAAUUAAAAAAAUAAAAUUGUUAGCAGGGAGUUUUAACCUAUGUAUUUAGGCAUGUUAAGCAUUUUAUUGUUCUCCGGCAACAUGAAUAAGUAAGAAAAUCUAGCGUUAUAAUCUGCCAUGACCUGAAGACUCCUUAUUGUUGUCCGCACUCAAAUACGGAAUGAGGCUGAAAUGUUGCUUGUUUUCCAGAUGUUGGAAUCAGCUCUGUCUUACAUGCUUGAAGGACGGUAUGUGUCAGAAACAGAUUUGGACUCUUCGAAAACUGAUCAUUCUGAGGUACUUGCCAAGUUUUGGAGUCAGUUGCAGAUGCUUUUGAAGAAGAUGUUGGCUGUGGCACUUGCUGCACGUGUGAACAAAUCUCCUGUUUCUCAGCCGCCUUCAAUAUCCAACAGGUGUGGAGAUGCUGAAAAGCUGAGGGAGCUUUACAAAAUCUCUCUCAAGUCCACCAAGUUAAGUCAAUUGGAUGAUAUGCACUCCUUGUGGACAUCAUAAUCUGGGAACUUGUCUGUGCACGACAGCCUUAUCGUAAUUAUGUGGCGAUAACAGGUGGAGAGAGAGCUUGGGUUUGUAAUAUAUUGUAAUAUGCUCUGCAUAAUAUUGUCUAUAGAAAGAAUUGUAAAAAGAAAAAUCCGAACAAAUAUUUGGUAAAUAUGAGCUUUUUGAAUUCUGGUAAUACUAGUAAUAGUAUUUC
rnacentral:lncRNA from 1 species